CCUACGGGAGGCAGCAGUGAGGAAUAUUGGUCAAUGGACGAGAGUCUGAACCAGCCAAGUAGCGUGAAGGAUGACUGCCCUAUGGGUCGUAAACCUCUUUUAUAUGGGAAUAAAACGCUCCACGUGUGGGAUUCUGUAUGUACCAUAUGAAUAAGGAUCGGCUAAUUCCGUGCCAGCAGCCGCGGUAAUACGGAGGACCCGAGCGUUAUCCGGAUUUAUUGGGUUUAAAGGGAGCGUAGGUGGAGUGUUAAGUCAGUUGUGAAAGGUUGCGGCUCAACCGUAAAAUUGCAGUUGAAACUGGCAGUCUUGAGUACAGUAGAGGUGGGCGGAAUUCGUGGUGUAGCGGUGAAAUGCUUAGAUAUCACGAAGAACUCCGAUUGCGAAGGCAGUUCACUGGACUGCAACUGACGCUGAGGCUCGAAGGUGUGGGUAUCAAACAGGAUUAGAUACCCCUGUAGUC
rnacentral:rRNA from 1 species